rnacentral:rRNA from 1 species
AGAACUUUGAAGAGAGAGUUCAAGAGUACGUGAAACCGUUCAGGGGUAAACCUGAGAAACCCGAAAGAUCGAAUGGGGAGAUUCAUCGUCAGCGCAUUUGGUAUAUGUGCAAAAUUGCGAUGUGAGUUAUCCUUAUGGGAUAAUACUUGCACGUAUUUGUAUCAUUUAAUUGCUGAAUGUCGUCGGCGUGCACUUUCUCCUCUAGUAGGACGUCGCGACCCGUUGGGUGUCGGUCUACGGCCCAGAUGGUAGUCUUUGAUGUUUAUUGCAAAAUAUAAUAUUGAAGACCACUGGUGUUUCCCGACCGACUGCCCGGCGGUAUUCGCACGGUAUUAAGCCGCUUUAAUGCGUCAAACUCGCCACAAGCGCGGUCAAUGUUUCUGGUAGUUUACGGACCUAGUGCCGUCGUCAGGCCUGACCAGCUGUUAGUUUGUGCGAUGUUUCUUUUGACUGGCUUUGAAAAUAUAUAUAAUACCGGUCGGCGACGCUAUUGCUUUGGGUACUUUCAGGACCCGUCUUG